rnacentral:rRNA from 1 species
AACGAACGCUGGCGGCAUGCCUAACACAUGCAAGUCGAACGAGACCUUCGGGUCUAGUGGCGCACGGGUGCGUAACGCGUGGGAACCUGCCUUUAGGUUCGGAAUAACUCAGAGAAAUUUGAGCUAAUACCGGAUAAUGUCUUCGGACCAAAGAUUUAUCGCCUUUAGAUGGGCCCGCGUAAGAUUAGCUAGUUGGUGGGGUAAAGGCCUACCAAGGCGACGAUCUUUAGCUGGUCUGAGAGGAUGAUCAGCCACACUGGGACUGAGACACGGCCCAGACUCCUACGGGAGGCAGCAGUGGGGAAUAUUGGUCAAUGGACGCAAGUACUGAACCAGCCAUGCCGCGUGAAGGAUGAAGGCCUUCUGGGUUGUAAACUCUUUUAUGUGGGAAGAAACCUCUGAUUUCUAUUAGAGUUGACGGUACCAUAGGAAUAAGCACCGGCUAACUCCGUGCCAGCAGCCGCGGUAAU